rnacentral:tRNA from 1 species
GUCUUGGUAGUUCAGUGGUAGAAUUCUCGACUUCCAUGCAGGAGACCUGAGUUCAAUUCCUGGCCAAUAUA